UAAAUAGAGCUUUGCUCGUGAACCAAAUAUGGUGGGCUGGGUUGUCUUUGCGGAAACGCUUAGGCGACUUGUCUACGAAUUGUAAUCAUAAUAUGGGCGGCGGUGAAUCCUUUGCAGACGACUUGAAUGGGAACGGGGUACUGUAAGUGGUAGAGUAGCCUUGUUGCUACGAUCCACUGAGGUUAAGCCCUUGUUCUAAAGAUUUGU
rnacentral:rRNA from 2 species